CCUACGGGAGGCAGCAGUGAGGAAUAUUGGUCAAUGGUCGCGAGCCUGAACCAGCCAAGUCGCGUGAAGGAUGACUGUACUACGGGUUGUAAACCUCUUUUUUCAAGGAAUAAAGUGUGGCACGUGUGCCCUUUUGUGUGUACUUUAUGAAUAAGGAUCGGCUAACUCCGUGCCAGCAGCCGCGGUAAUACGGAGGAUUCAAGCGUUAUCCGGAUUUAUUGGGGUUAAAGGGUGCGCAGGCGGUCGGAGAAGUUAGAGGUGAAAUCCCGGGGCUCAACUUCGGAAUUGCCUCUGAUACUGUGCGGCUAGAGAGGAGGUGAGGUAGGCGGAAUGCAUGGUGUAGCGGUGAAAUGCUUAGAGAUCAUACAGAACACCGAUUGCGAAGGCAGCUUACCAAGCUACUUCUGACGCUGAGGCACGAAAGCGUGGGGAGCAAACAGGAUUAGAUACCCGAGUAGUC
rnacentral:rRNA from 1 species